rnacentral:rRNA from 1 species
UACGUAGGGGGCGAGCGUUGCCCGAAUUUACUGGGCGUAAAGCGCACGUAGGCGGCUCCUUAAGUCUGGUGUGAAAUCUCACGGCUCAACCGAGAGGCUGCCCCAGAUACUGCGGGGCUCGAGGACGGGAGAGGAGAUUGGAAUUCCCGGUGUAGCGGUGAAAUGCAUUGAUAUCGGGAGGAACACCAGUGGCGAAGGCGGAUCUCUGGCCCGUUGCUGACGCUGAGGUGCGAAAGCUGGGGGAGUGAAAGGG